rnacentral:lncRNA from 1 species
GUCCCAUGAAAGUUCCCAAAACGUGAGCCUCAUGAACCCGGCAGUCUGGACCAUUAGGUACGCCAGACCGCCCCAUAGCUCUCGUUGAACCAUCUUUUUCGCCUUGGUGUCAAUGGCGGCCUUCCACCGCUCCAUCUCUUCCAAUUCUUUCACUAAAGGGUUGUGGGUCGCUGGCGAGUUUGGAGGCAGCAAGCCGUAUACGGCUUUCACCACCUACAAACGUGUGAAUUGAAACUACGAGUUUCAACAUCUGGUUUCUCAUUCUUCCCUGUACAGCAUCACACAAUAAUACAAAAGAACUCAUCAGAUUUCGGUCU